UAAGAGAGUUUGAUCCUGGCUCAGGAUGAACGCUGGCGGCGUGCCUAAUACAUGCAAGUCGAGCGAACAGACGAGGAGCUUGCUCCUUUGACGUUAGCGGCGGACGGGUGAGUAACACGUGGAUAACCUACCUAUAAGACUGGGAUAACUUCGGGAAACCGGAGCUAAUACCGGAUAAUAUAUUGAACCGCAUGGUUCAAUAGUGAAAGACGGUUUUGCUGUCACUUAUAGAUGGAUCCGCGCCGCAUUAGCUAGUUGGUAAGGUAACGGCUUACCAAGGCAACGAUACGUAGCCGACCUGAGAGGGUGAUCGGCCACACUGGAACUGAGACACGGUCCAGACUCCUAC
rnacentral:rRNA from 13 species